rnacentral:rRNA from 1 species
CGUGUAGGCGGAUAGCAAGUCAGAUGUGAAAUCCUGGAGCUCAACUCCAGAACAGCAUUUGAAACUACAAUUCUAGAGGGUAGGCGGAGAAAUUGGAAUUCCACGUGUAGCGGUGAAAUGCGUAGAUAUGUGGAAGAACACCAGUGGCGAAGGCGAAUUUCUAGCUUAUACCUGACGCUGAGGCGCGAAAGCAAGGGGAUCAAACA